AUUGAACGCUGGCGGCAUGCCUUACACAUGCAAGUCGAACGGCAGCACGGGAGCAAUCCUGGUGGCGAGUGGCGAACGGGUGAGUAAAGUAUCGGAACGUGCCCAGUCGUGGGGGAUAACGUAGCGAAAGUUACGCUAAUACCGCAUACGAUCUAUGGAUGAAAGCGGGGGAUCGCAAGACCUCGCGCGAUUGGAGCGGCCGAUAUCAGAUUAGGUAGUUGGUGGGGUAAAGGCUCACCAAGCCGACGAUCUGUAGCUGUCUGAGAGGAUGACCAGCCACGCUGGGACUGUGGCACGGCCAAGACUCCGACGGGAGUCAGCAGUGGGGAAUUUUGGACAAUGGGCGCAAGCCUGAUCCAGCCAGGCCGCGUGCAGGAUGAAGGCCUUCGGGUUGUAAACUGCUUUUGUACGGAACGAAAAGGUUUGACUAAAUACGUUGGACUCAUGACGGUACCGUAAGAAUAAGCGCCGGCUAACUACGUGCCAGCAGCCGCCGUAA
rnacentral:rRNA from 1 species